rnacentral:lncRNA from 1 species
GAUACAAAGCAAGGAGCUGGGCUCCUCUGUACUGUCCCACUCCCUAGAUGAAGGCAGAUCUUCCAAAAUAUUUCUGAUACUGCAGGGAGUGGCUGAGAAAGGAUCACACCCCGGUGGGAAGAAGUUUCUGGAACCUGUGGUGGGCAGUGUCUGACCCUCUCUGUACUUCAGAAGCAGAUAGUGCUGAAGGCCUGCCAGCCACACCAAAGAGCUUCUCACAAGAAGGCACGAGCCAGGUUGAGGCAGCUUCACAAGGGGAGGAAUGACCUGUUUUGGACCAGAAGCCAUGACUCGAAUGAGGCUAACAAUACACAAAGCACAGGCACCGUAUAGAAGAGUCAUUUUCCUCCUCUCAGGUUUCAUCAUAGUAACUGUCAUUACAAGGCAGACAGAGAUCCAUGGAUGGAGGUGUACCUGCGUUUCCAGUCCUGGCUCUGCUAUGUAGGGUCUUGGAUGACCUAUGACAGGUCGGAUUUGGUCACAAAUCCAGAAACGACUUCAUGUCACUGAGGUAUUACUCUGCUGCUCUCUAUGUCCAAGCCCAUUUUUAUAUAGUUUUAUAGUCUUGUCUCUCAUACUACGCACCUACCAGCCAGACACACCUGGGCAGGCAAGGAGAGCGGGAGUACUGGUGUUUGCUGCAUAUCUACUGUGUGGUGAGCAUGGACACUUUAAGACAUCAGAGAACUGAGGUGCUGAGUUGCAGCAGCCCCCACAGAAUCUCAAAAAUACAUCCAAGACUACUCUUCACAGGACAAGUGCGCAAUACAGGCUUCCUAUAGAGGAAUGUGGCUCAAGCAAGAAGGGUCACUGCUCAUUCACAUAGAGCCCAAAGGAAUGGCACCUCUUUGGACAGUCCAAUUUCCCCAAAUAAACCAAGAUUUAGACUGCUGAAGGCAUUCGUAGGCUAUGGUGUUAAGGCUGCUUGAGACUAACACCACACUUUGAUCAUUCAGUCAAAUCAAAAAGCAUUUAUUAAGCAUCAGUUCAAGGCUCCCUGCAGGGGCUUCUCUUUGUGUCUCUGGCAUUCAUACUUCCGUGCUUCUCUUAUGUGGCUCUUCACCCUUACCCAAAAAAAACUCCCUAAUACACUAAUAAUACACUCCCUAAUAAUCUCACUGCUGAUAUUAUCCUUUUCUGCUUAUUUCCAAGACUUUGAAUAGAAAGUCAGGACAGAACUUAUUCCAUUGAAAAUCUAUGCACCCAUCCCUGCUUUCACAGGAUUCUGUGACAAGCACCCUAGCCAGUAGUCAAAGCUUACAGGGGUGAAAUUUCAGCAUGUUUUCUUCGUUCAGAAUGCAGACUAAAUAUUUUAGAAGGGUUUUUAGGGAAGCAAUUUACAGCCAGUAAUUGGAAGUGCAGUGUUUUUGCAAGACCAAUGUCUCAGAUUACAGGUCUAUGAUUUGCCUAAAAAUAACUCAUUUAUUUUAGGCUUGGAUUUUGAAAAGGGGAAAAAUUAAGUCUUAGGAUGAUUUUCUUCAAAUUUCCCAUUGCAUUCUUUACAUCAGAAAAGGAGAUGUGGGAAGGCAAGAUGGAGUUUCUAGAGAGGAGAAAUCCAACACUGUUUUUCCUUGGUUCAUUUAUGAGACUACAUUUUCCUAGCUAUGUACACUAUUUCCAGUUUAUGACUCACUCAAACAAUUUACUAUAUUUAAAAUUACAUUAAAUUCUCUUUACACUGCUUAGGUCAAAUAUUCAUACUAUGUAUACAGUUGGAAAUUCUUCCUCAUAGAUCCAGUGCAUGGUAUGGAUGUAUUUGUGUCCUUGUUGCCAUGGUAACUAGGAAAGGUUAAAGCCAGAACCUCAGAAAACAGAGUGGCUGAACAAUAAAAUAUCAUAAAUAUGUGUGUGCUUCUUAAAAUACUCUUCUCACAUAUGGAUUUAAAAAUUUUAGAACCACUGCCUUGAAGUUAAUUUUCCAUUUCUAGCAUACACAUUAUUAUCUAAAAAGAAUAUUCUCAAAACAAUCUCUUUCAAUCACUCCUUUUCUCUCUAAACUGUAAUAUAAUGUCCAUUUAUUUCAAAAGAUGGACUAAGUAAAACAUGAGCAAUGCUUUGGUUUUUCAAAUAUGGAUGAGACAUGCCAAUGAAAAUGGAGGUCAAUAAAGUUGUUUUCUGGUUGAAACACGCUG